rnacentral:rRNA from 1 species
CCUACGGGAGGCAGCAGUGGGGAAUAUUGCUCAAUGGGCGAAAGCCUGACGCAGCGACGCCGCGUGAGGGAUGAAGGUCUUCGGAUCGUAAACCUCUGUCAGCAGGGAAGCACGGUCACUCUGCUAAUCAGCAGUGAAUUGACGGUACCUGCAAAGGAAGCACCGGCUACAUCCGUGCCAGCAGCCGCGGUAAUACGGAGGGUGCGAUCGUUAAUCGGAAUUACUUGGCGUAAAGCGCUCGUGGGCGGUAUGUUAAGUCAAGGGUGAAAUCCCCGCGCUCACCGUGGGAACUGCCUUUGAAACUGGCAAACUGGAGUGUGUGAGAGGAUAGUGGAAUGCCAGGUGUAGGAGUGAAAUGCGUAGAUAUCUGGAGGAACAUCAGUGGCGAAGGCGACUAUCUGGCACAUAACUGACGCUGAGGAGCGAAAGCGUGGGUAGCAAACAGGAUUAGAUACCCCUGUAGUC